rnacentral:rRNA from 1 species
CCUACGGGAGGCAGCAGUGGGGGAUAUUGCACAAUGGGGGAAACCCUGAUGCAGCGACGCCGCGUGAGUGAAGAAGUAUUUCGGUAUGUAAAGCUCUAUUAGCAGGGAAGAAAAUGACUGUACCUGACCAGUAAGCACCGUCUAACUACGUGCCAGCAGCCGCGGUAAUACGUAGGGGGCAAGCGUUAUCCGGAUUUACUGGGUGGAAAGGGAGUGUAGAUGGUUAUGUAAGUCUGGAGUUAAAGCGCGGGGCCCAACCCAGGGAAUGCUUUGGAAACUGUGUAACUGGAGUACAGGAGGGGCAGGCGGAAUUCCUGGUGUAGCGGUGAAAUGCGUAGAUAUAAGGAGGAACACCGGCGGCGAAGGCGGCCUGCUGGACUGAAACUGACGUUGAGGCUCGAAAGCGUGGGGAGCAAACAGGAUUAGAUACCCGAGUAGUC